GUGGAUAUAGCUCAGUUGGUUAGAGCGUCGGAUUGUGGUUCCGAAGGUCGCGGGUUCGAAUCCCGUUUUCCACCC
rnacentral:tRNA from 1 species